CUACAGGGCUGGGGAAUAGUUUAGUCAGCAAAGGGCUUGUUUCACAAGCCUGAGGACAUGAGUUCUAUCCCCAGCAUUCCUGUGAA
rnacentral:miRNA from 1 species